rnacentral:rRNA from 1 species
UACGUAGGCAGCGAGCGUUGUUCGGAAUUACUGGGCGUAAAGCGCGCGUAGGCGGCUUUGUAAGUUAGAGGUGAAAGCCCGGAGCUCAACUCCGGAACUGCCUUUAAGACUGCAUCGCUAGAAUUGUGGAGAGGUAAGUGGAAUUCCGAGUGUAGAGGUGAAAUUCGUAGAUAUUCGGAAGAACACCAGUGGCGAAGGCGACUUACUGGACACAUAUUGACGCUGAGGUGCGAAAGCGUGGGGAGCAAACAGG